rnacentral:rRNA from 1 species
CCUACGGGUGGCUGCAGUGAGGAAUAUUGGUCAAUGGCCGAGAGGCUGAACCAGCCAAGUCGCGUGAGGGAAGAAUGUCCUAUGGAUUGUAAACCUCUUUUGUCAGGGAGCAAAGUCACCCACGUGUGGGUGUUGGAGAGUACCUGAAGAAAAAGCAUCGGCUAACCCCGGACCAGCCGCCGCGGUAAUCCGGAGGAGGCGAGCGUUAUCCGGAUUUGUUGGGUUUCACGGGUGCGUAGGCGGGUUAUCAAGUCAGCGGUAAAAUCGUGGAGCUCAACUCCAUCCAGCCGUUGAAACUGAUGAUCUUGAGUGGGCGAGAAGUAUGCGGAAUGCGUGGUGUAGCGGUGAAAUGCAUAGAUAUCACGCAGAACUCCGAUUGCGAAGGCAGCUCACUGGACUGCAACUGACACUGAGGCUCGAAAGUGUGGGUAUCAAACAGGAUUAGAUACCCGAGUAGUC